rnacentral:rRNA from 1 species
AGCGAACGCUGGCGGCAUGCUUAACACAUGCCAGUCGCACGGGCAGCAAUGUCAGUGGCGGACGGGUGAGUAACGCGUAGGAACGUGUCCUGAGGUGGGGGACAACCCCGGGAAACUGGGGCUAAUACCGCAUAUGGGCUGAGGCCCAAAGCCGAGAGGCGCCUUUGGAGCGGCCUGCGUCCGAUUAGGUAGUUGGUGGGGUAAAGGCCUACCAAGCCUGCGAUCGGUAGCUGGUCUGAGAGGACGACCAGGCGCACUGGGACUGAGGCACGGCCCAGACUCCUACGGAGGGCAGCGGUGGGGAAUAUUAGACGAGGAGCGAAAGCCUGAUCCAGCAAUGCCGCGUGUGUGAAGAAGGUCUUCGGAUCGUAAAGCCCUUUCGACGGAGACGAUGAUGACGGUACCCGUAGAAGAAGCCCCGGCUAACUUCGUG